rnacentral:rRNA from 1 species
UACGAAGGGGGCUAGCGUUGCUCGGAAUGACUGGGCGUAAAGGGCGCGUAGGCGGUUCGUACAGUCAGGCGUGAAAUUCCCGGGCUUAACCUGGGGGCUGCGUUUGAUACGUGCGGGCUUGAGUUCGGAAGAGGGUCGUGGAAUUCCCAGUGUAGAGGUGAAAUUCGUAGAUAUCAGGAGGAACACCUGUGGCGAAAGCGGCUCACUGGACCAUAACUGACGCUGAUGCACGAAAGCUAGGGGAGCAAACAGG